rnacentral:lncRNA from 1 species
CUUACGUACUAUUAGUCUACCAUUAGAUUUUUGUAAAUUUAUGUUUGCUGAAUGAAACUGGGCGGUUUCACUUCGAUGCCAUUAGCGUCGGCAUACAACAAAAGUUUCUCGACCUUCCACCAUGUAGCGGCUCCAUCUCAAAAUGUACUUUUCGUGUCCAAGAGGGUGCCACCCUUGUUGCAAUCUUCAACCACAGUAGUGUCAGUUGUUGUUUUUCUAUUUGAUCAAGUAGCCAUAUUCCAUGUUCGAACUCAAUUUACUUUAAUGUAAUGAGUUCGUUUAAUUGUAUUUUAAUAGCAGCAAGAUCGCCU